GUUGAGGAGGAGCCUGGGGUGAGCCA
rnacentral:piRNA from 1 species